GGCCUCGGGGAUCGACGCUGGUCGGCGAGGUUUCGCCCACCGGCGCUUUUUCC
rfam:Sphingobium sp. SYK-6 DNA, complete genome.